rnacentral:ncRNA from 2 species
GCCUACUUUUGCACCCACUAUCGUAUAGGUUUGUAAUGGGUCAGACGUUUCUACCUGCUGCCGCAAACAGCAGUCUAUGAUAGUUCUUUUUUAAUGU